CGUGCAGCCGGGAAUGCAAGUCAGAUGUGAAAUCCAUGGGCUUAACCCAUGAACUGCAUUUGAAACUGUAUUUCUUGAGUACUGGAGAGGCAAUCGGAAUUCCUAGUGUAGCGGUGAAAUGCGUAGAUAUACGGAGGAACACCAGUGGCGAAGGCGGCCUGCUGGACAUUAACUGACGCUGAGGCGCGAAAGCGUGGGAGCAAACA
rnacentral:rRNA from 1 species